rnacentral:rRNA from 1 species
ACUCCUACGGGAGGCAGCAGUGGGGAAUAUUGCACAAUGGGGGAAACCCUGAUGCAGCCAUGCCGCGUGUGUGAAGAAGGCCUUCGGGUUGUAAAGCACUUUCAGUAGGGAGGAAGGUAGUGUAGUUAACACCUGCACCUAUUUGACGUUACCUACAGAAGAAGCACCGGCUAACUCCGUGCCAGCAGCCGCGGUAAUACGGAGGGUGCGAGCGUUAAAUCGGAAUUACUGGGCGUAAAGCGCAUGCAGGCGGCCUGUUAAGUCAGAUGUGAAAGCCCGGGGCUUAACCUCGGAAUUGCAUUUGAAACUGGCAGGCUAGAGUCUUGUAGAGGGGGGUAGAAUUUCAGGUGUAGCGGUGAAAUGCGUAGAGAUCUGAAGGAA